AAAGCGGGGCAACCCGCAAGUAGAGUGGCGAACGGGUGAGUAAUACAUCGGAACAUAUCCAGUAGCGGGGGAUAACCUGUCGAAAGAUAGGCUAAUACCGCAUACGACCUACGGGUGAAAGCGGAGGACCGCAAGGCUUCGCACUAUUGGAGUGGCCGAUGUCGGAUUAGCUAGUUGGUGAGGUAAAAGCUCACCAAGGCGACGAUCCGUAGCUGGUCUGAGAGGACGACCAGCCACACUGGAACUGAGACACGGUCCAGACUCCUACGGGAGGCAGCAGUGGGGAAUUUUGGACAAUGGGCGCAAGCCUGAUCCAGCCAUGCCGCGUGAGUGAAGAAGGCCUUCGGGUUGUAAAGCUCUUUCGGUGGGGAAGAAAUGGUACGUGCUAAUACCACGGACUGAUGACGGUACCCGAAGAAGAAGCACCGGCUAACUACGUGCCAGCAGCCGCGGUAAUACGUAGGGUGCAGGCGUUAAUCGGAAUUACUGGGCGUAAAGCGUACGCAGGCGGUUUGCUAAGACAGGUGUGAAAUCCCCGGGCUUAACCUGGGAACUGCGCUUGUUACUGGCAAGCUAGAGUGUGGCAGAGGGGGGUAGAAUUCCAGGUGUAGCAGUGAAAUGCGUAGAUAUCUGGAGGAAUACCGAUGGCAAAGGCAGCCCCCUGGGUUAACACUGACGCUCAUGUACGAAAGCGUGGGGAGCAAACAGGAUUAGAUACCCUGGUAGUCCACGCCCUAAACUAUGUCAACUGGUUGUCGGGGAAGCAAUUCCUUGGUAACGAAGCUAACGCGUGAAGUUGACCGCCUGGGGAGUAC
rnacentral:rRNA from 1 species